rnacentral:rRNA from 1 species
UACGAAGGGGGCUAGCGUUACUCGGAUUGACUGGGCGUAAAGCGCACGUAGGCGGAUUUGUAAGUCAGGGGUGAAAUCCCGGGGCUCAACCUCGGAACUGCCUUUGAUACUGCAAGUCUCGAGUCCGAUAGAGGUGAGUGGAAUUCCUAGUGUAGAGGUGAAAUUCGUAGAUAUUAGGAAGAACACCAGUGGCGAAGGCGGCUCACUGGAUCGGUACUGACGCUGAGGUGCGAAAGCGUGGGGAGCAAACAGG